GAGCAACAGGACGGUGAGAGCAUGACAGGCAAGUGGAGAAGGACAGCAUCUGGGACGUCAGGAGGACAAUCUGCACUCGCCAACAUGUUGUUGCCUCUUGUGAGAGUUUCUAGUUUCCUUGCAGAGUUUGUGAGAGGAGAUGGAAGAGAGAAGAGUUAACGGCAGCACGGCUAAGAAAGAAGACUAAAGGUUUGCUUGUGAAAGGCAUAGUACCAGACAACAAUAGGGCUUGAACACAUCAGAUGAGUAGCAAAGAAAAAACAGCUAUUACUAUGACUUCAGAUAGGAUUGGGUUGAUAGGACUAUUAUGAAUUCCACCAUAUCCAAAGACAGUCAUGAGGAGGUAAGUAUUUCAGCUUCUGCGUUGGCCUGUUUGGAUUGCAAACCUGUCUUCUCUGUUCCAAUUCAUUGAGCAGGUUCUGGCCAUCAGUGAUGAGAGUGGGCGUAGAAGAGACUGGGAAACCUCAUGAGUAAGUAAUGAUUCCUGAGUCACGAUGUUCUUACACAAAAGCUUUAUUUCACAGCCAUCUUCUAAUCUGGAGGAGAACGGAAGCACCCUCCCGGACAAACAAGACAGCAAAACAUCUCACAAGGAGAUCAAUGACAACGGUACAAAGGACCCUCCAUGUAUGAGCUCUUUCUGUUGCAAGGAGUGUAUUUUGGUAACAAUCUGGAAAGCAGGUUUAUGAUGGAACCAUGAUAGCUACCAUAACAAUUCAGAGUGCUGCUACACAGCAAGGGAAAUGUGAAUUUACUCACAUCCACUUGCUGUGAAGUCACACCAGGGGAUCCAAGUCUGUUCAAUUUAAGUAACUACACAGGGAGACAGAAGAAAAGCUUUGUUUAGUCCUUGUUUGAAACUCGAUAGGAGGCACAGUUAAAAGGAACUGCCUAUCAAGCUGUAACAAGGGUUUCCUCCUCUCAUUUCCUCCUCUUGUUAGCUGUGUGUGUGUGUUUACAUCCCUUAGUGCAUCUGUACUGGCACUUUGAUAAUAUUUCCUGGUGCUGCAAUGCAGGAAAAAAGCAUCUUCCUGAGAGAGGCUUUGCUUGCCUUCAGAAAAAAAAGUAUGUGAAGACUUUCCAAGAAAGGCCUUAUUUUAUGCUAGGAAGGGAGGGAGGGAGGGAGAGAAACGGAAAAGAAAGGAAGGAGUUGGUGGUCUUUGCUUGCUUUUCUUGACUGUGAGCCGGCACAAUGACUUUUCUGCAUUGGUUCAAGAAAUCUCAUGGCUGAAUCAUUGUGAAUUGAUAAGAAGCCCCAGCAGUGGAGGGGAAAAGUAGAUGGGGAGGGGGGAGAGACUCCAGGCUGAUUCUCAUUUCCCUUUGCAUUGUGUAAUUAACAUAAAAAAUGCAAAUCAUGCUGCCCCAAAUCCAUAGCACAGAGUGUAUUAAAGGAUAGCCAUAGAACUAAGAAUGCAGGUGCAUUGGGUGUGGGGGGAGGUAGUAGCAGUAAAGAGUGGUUUAGCCAAGGUCAUUGCCAAUGGAUUGGAAGGUUCUGGCCCUUGUUGCCAUGCCCAGGGUAAUACUGAUCGCCGCUUCCGGGGUCGGGAAGGAAUUUUCCUCCAGGUCAGAUUGGCCAGAGAUCCUGGAGGUUUUUCGCCUUCUUCUGGGCAUCCAACAUCGGUUAUACAUAUUAAUCUUAUAUGGAUUUUAGAGUAACAACAUAUUUGACAACUGAACUCGUCAAAUAACAAUACCAUCUUAACAGAAAAUUAAUAAAAAUCACCAAUC